rnacentral:rRNA from 1 species
GUUUGAUCAUGGCUCAGGAUGAACGCUAGCUACAGGCUUAACACAUGCAAGUCGCGGGGCAGCAUGCCUUGUCCUCGGACGAGGCGAUGGCGACCGGCGCACGGGUGAGUAACGCGUAUCCAACCUUCCCGCGAGCGGGGUAUAGCCCGGCGAAAGUCGGAUUAAUCCCCCAUACCUCCCAUGACGUCCUCGGAGUGGGAGCAAAGGCCUUGGCCGCUUGCGGAUGGGGAUGCGUCCGAUUAGGAAGUAGGCGGGGUAACGGCCCACCUAUCCAUCGAUCGGUAGGGGUUCUGAGAGGAAGGUCCCCCACACUGGUACUGAGACACGGACCAGACUCCUACGGGAGGCAGCAGUGAGGAAUAUUGGUCAAUGGGCGCAGGCCUGAACCAGCCAAGUAGCGUGCAGGACGACGGCCCUACGGGUUGUAAACUGCUUUUAUACGGGAAUAAAGUCCGCCACUUGUGGCGGUUUGCAUGUACCGUUAUGAAUAAGGACCGGCUAAUUCCGUGCCAGCAGCCGCGGUAAUACGGAAGGUCCGGGCGUUAUCCGGAUUUAUUGGGUUUAAAGGGAGCGUAGGCGGCAUGGUAAGCGUGUUGUGAAAUGCGGGUGCUCAACAUCCGGACUGCAGCGCGAACUGCCGUGCUUGAGUGCAUUGAAGGAAGGCGGAAUUCGUGGUGUAGCGGUGAAAUGCUUAGAUAUCACGAGGAACCCCGAUUGCGAAGGCAGCUUUCCGCGCUGUUACUGACGCUGAAGCUCGAAGGUGCGGGUAUCGAACAGGAUUAGAUACCCUGGUAGUCCGCACGGUAAACGAUGGAUGCUCGCUGUCCGGCAUUUAUGCUGGGCGGCUUCGGGAAACCCUUAAGCAUCCCACCUGGGGAGUACGCCGGCAACGGUGAAACUCAAAGGAAUUGACGGGGGCCCGCACAAGCGGAGGAACAUGUGGUUUAAUUCGAUGAUACGCGAGGAACCUUACCCGGGCUUGAACUGCAGAGGACCGGUCCGGAGACGGGCCAUCCCUUCGGGGUCUCUGCGGAGGUGCUGCAUGGUUGUCGUCAGCUCGUGCCGUGAGGUGUCGGCUUAAGUGCCAUAACGAGCGCAACCCCUCUCCCCAGUUGCCAUCGCGUGACGGCGGGCACUCUGGGGACACUGCCACCGCAAGGUGCGAGGAAGGUGGGGACGACGUCAAAUCAGCACGGCCCUUACGUCCGGGGCUACACACGUGUUACAAUGGGUCGUACAGAGAGCUGGCCGCCGGCGACGUCGGCCGAAUCCUGAAAGCGUCCCUCAGUUCGGAUUGGGGUCUGCAACCCGACCCCAUGAAGCUGGAUUCGCUAGUAAUCGCGCAUCAGCCACGGCGCGGUGAAUACGUUCCCGGGCCUUGUACACACCGCCCGUCAAGCCAUGAAAGCCGGGGGCGCCUGAAGUCCGUUCCCUCGCGGGUCGGCCUAGGGUGAAACUGGUGAUUGGGGCUAAGUCGUAACAAGGUAAC